CCUACGGGUGGCAGCAGUGAGGAAUAUUGGUCAAUGGGCGCGAGCCUGAACCAGCCAAGUAGCGUGAAGGAUGACUGUUCUACGGGUUGUAAACUUCUUUUAUAAAGGAAUAAAGUGAGGCACGUGUGCCUUUUUGUAUGUACUUUAUGAAUAAGGAUCGGCUAACUCCGUGCCAGCAGCCGCGGUAAUACGGAGGAUCCGAGCGUUAUCCGGAUUUAUUGGGUUUAAAGGGAGCGUAGAUGGGUUGUUAAGUCAGUGGUGAAAGUUUGCGGCUCAACCGUAAAAUUGCCAUUGAUACUGGCAGCCUUGAGUACAGUUGAGGUAGGCGGAAUGCGUGGUGUAGCGGUGAAAUGCUUAGAUAUCACGAAGAACUCCGAUUGCGAAGGCAGCUUACUAAGCUGCCACUGACAUUGAUGCUCGAAAGUGUGGGUAUCAAACAGGAUUAGAUACCCCGGUAGUC
rnacentral:rRNA from 1 species